rnacentral:misc_RNA from 1 species
CAACCCCUCUGUACCCUUGGGUAUAGGUGUUGGGGACCCGCGGAAACGCGGCCCCCUAAAGACAUUGGCGGACCUCUCACGGUAUCCGAGCGCAGUAAUAACAUUCUCGCUCCGGGAACCUGGGAUGGCUUCCUGCCGUUAAACCCCCAAAUUUCUAA